rnacentral:rRNA from 1 species
GAUGAACGCUGGCGGCGUGCUCAACACAUGCAAGUCGAACGGAGUGCUCAUGACGGAGGAUUCGUCCAACGGAUUGAGUUACUUAGUGGCGGACGGGUGAGUAACGCGUGAGGAACCUGCCUCGGAGUGGGGAAUAACAGACCGAAAGGCCUGCUAAUACUGCAUGAUACAGUUUGGGUCGCAUGACUCUGACUGUCAAAAGAUUUAUCGCUCUGAGAUGGCCUCGCGUCUGAUUAGCUAGUUGGUGGGGUAACGGCCCACCAAGGCGACGAUCAGUAGCCGGACUGAGAGGUUGGCCGGCCACAUUGGGACUGAGACACGGCCCAG